UUACUAAGUCGGAACGACUUGACAAGGCGGAUAUAGUUAGCGUUAGAUCUUAAGCAGCACUGUCUGUCUCUUUCCCUUCGCCGUUUUUCAAAUUCCGCGUUGGUGGUAUUCGACUUUCGUACGAGUAAUCGUGCUGAUUUUGCUUUUACAAAGGCAUUUAAAGAGUCAAGCUACAUCUCGUAAACCAUCCAAUUCUAAUGAAGUAGACGAUAAUGUAAAUGACUCGGAACGAAACUACCCAGGGAGUCUUUCUUUCUCGUUCGCUUCUCUCGACUUCACCGAGAAAAUUAAAAUCCGUAUUUCUAUCGAACGCGAAGAGACUUAAGAAUUGAUUAAAUUACACUUGGUAAUACGGCUGCUACCGUGAUUCGAAAUUUGUCCGUUUGCCGACACGUAAUCCGUUUCGAGAGAUCGAUAAGAGAGUGAGUUACACGAGUCGCUUGUAAAUGAGUAGAGAUAUCGAUCAGGAUCUUAGAUAGUAGCGUUCGCUCAUAGCGAAGACUCAUCCGAAGACGGGAGAAAGAGAGAAAAAGUACUGAGAAGAGGAAAUACGGAUUUCUGUCGGUACAAGAGAAGGAAAUAUAUGUCUAAAGACGGCGGUAGAGAAACGCGUUCGUUUCGCAAGAAAUAUUCCUCCUAUCUGGAGAAGUAGCAGGGCUACUCUUUGUGCACGACGGUGUGGCAGCCAUAAAAUCCUUAAAAUGCAUAGCUACAAUGAAAUUGUGGGCACGAAUGUAACCCUCGGCUAAGGUUAAUCUGGCGAGAGCAUCGCGACGCCUGGCUAAUGGCACGUCCGACGGUUGCGUGCCAGCAUUUUCAGCCAAGCAGUCGUCGAGCAUCCGUCCUGCUCGGGAGGGAGCUCAGCCGACUGAGUGAUGAAGAUAUCUGUGGAAAUAUCUGACGCUUAGGAACGUGACAUUUUAACAUUCAAGAAGAUCUCAAACACUUAAUCGACGUCGUAUCACCAAAGAAAAAGUUAAAAAGGAAAGAUUUCGAAAAUGACUACGAACAGGCGUUCUCUCUAUAUCAGCUUUUACACUGACUCCCUUCGUGACAGUUACCACCGUGCCAUUCGAAGAUGCUCAUUCUACAAAGUUAUUGCCAACAGCUGUACAACUUUUUUCGAUCGUUUCGUUCGCGCUCCGAAAAUUAUCGUCUACCAGGCGAACGCUUUACGAUGAAGACGCAAGCAUAACCUUCUCUUCCGAUCGAGCGUUCUUUAUACGUCCAUAAAGGGAAAUUAAUGUUCUGGAUGGUAAUGGUAAAUGGAGUGGAAAGAAGACAAGAAAUCGUAAGAUAAACGACAUCGGGAUGUGCCGAAGGCUGGCAUCUUUUAUCGAUGAGAAACGAAAGAAGAAGGUGCAAGUGAGAGAUCAAAAUUUCAAGUUAAAUUUUGAUCUUGUGGAAAGGUCACUAUAAAGGAAACUUCACAGAUAGUUGUUUAUUUGAUCAUUUAUCUUAUAAAAAAGGAAAAAUUUAUAUAUUACCGAUGCAUAACAUGUAUAUAAAAAACUUCUUAAAUGAGAUAACGAUUUAACUAGGAUACA